rnacentral:siRNA from 1 species
UCAUUUGUGGGAACGCGGUGGC